rnacentral:rRNA from 1 species
CCUACGGGAGGCAGCAGUGGGGAAUAUUGCACAAUGGGCGCAAGCCUGAUGCAGCGACGCCGCGUGAGGGAUGACGGCCUUCGGGUUGUAAACCUCUUUCAGUAGGGAAGAAGCGAAAGUGACGGUACCUGCAGAAGAAGCGCCGGCUAACUACGUGCCAGCAGCCGCGGUAAUACGUAGGGCGCAAGCGUUAUCCGGAAUUAUUGGGCGUAAAGAGCUCGUAGGCGGUUUGUCGCGUCUGCCGUGAAAGUCCGGGGCUCAACUCCGGAUCUGCGGUGGGUACGGGCAGACUAGAGUGAUGUAGGGGAGACUGGAAUUCCUGGUGUAGCGGUGAAAUGCGCAGAUAUCAGGAGGAACACCGAUGGCGAAGGCAGGUCUCUGGGCAUUAACUGACGCUGAGGAGCGAAAGCAUGGGGAGCGAACAGGAUUAGAUACCCUGGUAGUCCAUGCCGUAAACGUUGGGCACUAGGUGUGGGGGACAUUCCACGUUUUCCGCGCCGUAGCUAACGCAUUAAGUGCCCCGCCUGGGGAGUCGGCCGCAAGCUAAACUCAAGGAAUUGACGGCNGAGACGNGCGAGCGACGACGAGGGAGAG